rnacentral:rRNA from 1 species
UACGAAGGGGGCUAGCGUUGUUCGGAAUUACUGGGCGUAAAGCGCACGUAGGCGGACUCUUAAGUCAGGGGUGAAAUCCCGGGGCUCAACCUCGGAACUGCCUUUGAUACUGUGAGUCUCGAGACCGGAAGAGGUGAGUGGAAUUCCUAGUGUAGAGGUGAAAUUCGUAGAUAUUAGGUAGAACACCAGUGGCGAAGGCGGCUCACUGGUCCGGUUCUGACGAUGAGGUGCGAAAGAGUGGGGAGCAAACAGG